UAACAAAAGAAUAUGAACAACAGGACACUAGACAAGUUCGGACCAGCCCACCUAAAACUAGACCAGUUCAGAACAGACCGGCUAAAACCAGACCAGUUCUGACCAGCCUACCUAAAACCAGACCAGAAAAACCUAGCUAAUACCAGACACGUUUGGAUCACCCCAGCUAAUACCAGACCAGAUCAGACCAGUUCAGGUAAAACCAGGACAUUUUGGACCACCCUAGCUAAAAACCAAAGCAGUUCAGAUCAGACCAGCUAAAACCAGACCAG